AUACGUAGGGGGCAAGCGUUAUCCGGAUUUACUGGGUGUAAAGGGAGCGUAGACGGCAAAGCAAGUCUGAAGUGAAAGCCCCGGGCUCAACCCGGGAAUUGCUUUGGAAACUGUUUAGCUGGAGUGCAGGAGAGGUAAGCGGACUUCCUAGUGUAGCGGUGAAAUGCGUAGAUAUUAGGAGGAACACCGGCGGCGAAGGCGGCUUACUGGACUGUAACUGACGUUGAGGCUCGAAAGCGUGGGGAGCAAACAGGAUUAGAUACCCUGGUAGUCCACGCCGUAAACGAUGAUUACUAGGUGUUGGUUGUCAUAGACAAUCGGUGCCGCAGCAAACGCAAUAAGUAAUCCACCUGGGGAGUACGUUCGCAAGAAUGAAACUCAAAUGAAUUGGCGGGG
rnacentral:rRNA from 1 species